UGUAAAAAUAGAAAAUCAACAGACCAUGUCUGUUUUGUUUAAAUAUGCUAUAUUAAUUUAAAACAGCAUAACCUCGUAAAAUCAGUUUUCGUUAUAAAUGUUCAUGAUAUAAAUAUGAGAUAUUAUUAUGUUAAUUUAUUAAGAAUUUUUUAGAGAAAGUUGAUGUAAUUAAUUCGCGAUUUACAAAAAACUGAUUUUCGCUCUGACAAGUGCCUCUCAAGUCCUGGAUGAUUCUUAAACAAAUAAAAUUCUUUUUUUUAACAACAUUAUCUUCUGAUUGUGACAAAUGUUUUGUCAUUGUAAUUUAAUAUUUUAAUAUUUAUUUUUUUUUAACCAUACAUUCUUUAUUAUAUUGUAUUUAGGAAAUUAAGAUUGAUGACGAUAUUACUACUUUGGUACCGCUCUUUCCAGAAACGGACUUCCAACCUGUGGAGAAUAUAGAAAAAAUAACCUAACGACAAAAGUAUAUGCCCUAUGCCCGCCUCCUCAACCCAACCCAACCCAACUAAGCCCAACCCAACCCAACUCAACCCAACCCAACCCAACCCAACCUGUGGAGAAUAUAGAAAAAAGAACCUAACGAGAAAAGUAUAUGCUCUAUGCCCGCCUCCUCGACACCCUGCAUGGGAGAGCAGAAGAACUUAUUAACAAUACUAGUGUUUUCUGAAGAGAAAAAUUAAAUGUAAUAAAAAAAUGUUAUAAUUCUAUAUAUUUUUAUAGUUA